rfam:Oryza meridionalis cultivar OR44 (W2112) chromosome 1, whole genome shotgun sequence.
UAUAAGUGCAGUUGUGAUUUUCUGUAUUCAACGCUUAAACAUCAGUUUUUUUAAAAAAAAUGAUUAGUAUUUUUGUUGUUAUUAGAUAAUAAAAGAUGAAUAGUCCUUUAUGACUAACUUAUUUUUUAAUUUUUUUUAUAAAUUUUUUUAAUAAGACGGACGGUCAAACGUUGGACACGAAAACCACAACAACACUUAUA